rnacentral:tRNA from 1 species
GGAGAGGUGCCGGAGCGGCUGAACGGGCCGGAUUCGAAAUCCGGUGAAGGGUCUUCCCUUCCGGGGGUUCGAAUCCCCCCCUCUCCGCCA